CCCCACUGCUGAACCCAGGCCCCAUUGCUGUGUCUGCCCUGUGGGGUUGAAACCCCUCUCCUGUUCAGGAGUGGCAGGUAGAAACCAAAGGUGAUGAAGAAACAUAUUGUAAAGACUCGAGGCCCUGCUCUUUGCCAAGGAUAUCGUGUUCAUUCAUCUUCCCUUAAAAUGUUUUCUGUGUUUCAUCUCUCAGUUCAUCUUCUCAACACCCAUCACUUUGACAAUCAACACCCAGCUCUAGGCUCAGCACUAGGGGAUGGAGAACAGAGGAGUGCUCUGCACCAAAGUGACUUCUUGAAGCUGGGGUUUAUUGCAAAUUAGUCAUGAAUCAUAAAAUAAAAGCUUUGCACAGAACCAGCGCUCCCAUGGAAAUUCUGGGAGUGCUCUCCUGAGCUCCAAUCUCGUUUGUGGUGCUCUUGACUCUUUUGAUUUUUGCUGGCACUCCAAGAGGCCUGGCAAGCUCACAGGAAUUGACAGAAGAGUCUUUAGGGAAAUAUGGACCCAGGCGAUGUCUUCAGCCUGGUGGAGUUAUGGACUGGGGCAAAAUGCAAAGGAGAAAUCUCUGUGCUGGGACAGAACUGGUUGUGCUGUCACUGCUUUGAAGAUAUCUGCAAGAUCUGGGGGAGGAUCCAUGGCCCAGGUCUCCAUCCACAGCUGGA